AGCGAACGCUGGCGGCAGGCCUAACACAUGCAAGUCGAACGAACCUUUCGGGGUUAUUGGCGGACGGGUGUGUAACACGUCGGAACGUGCCUUUAUGUUCGGAAUAACUCUGGGAAACUUGUGCUAAUACCGAAUGUGCGCUUCUGGGGGAAGAUUUAUCGCCUUUAGAGCGGCAGGCGUCGGAUUAGCUAGUUGUGUGAGGUAAUGGCGCACCAAGGCGACGAUCACUAGCUGGUCUGAGAGGAUGAUCAGCCACACCGGGUGUGAGACACGGCCGAAACUCCUCCGGGAGGCAGCAGAGGGGGAUCGUGCGAAAUGGGGGAAAGCAUGAAGGAGUCAGGACGGGUGAACGAUGAAGGUCGUAGGAUUGUAAAAUUCUUUCAACGGGGAAGAUAAUGACGGUACCCGGAGAAGAAGCCCCGGCUAACUUCGUG
rnacentral:rRNA from 1 species